rnacentral:rRNA from 1 species
UACAGAGGGUGCGAGCGUUAAUCGGAUUUACUGGGCGUAAAGGGCGCGUAGGCGGUUUAAUGAGUGUGAUGUGAAAGCCCUGGGCUCAACCUAGGAAGUGCAUCGCAAACGAUUGAACUGGAGUAUAUGAGAGGGUGGUGGAAUUUCCGGUGUAGCAGUGAAAUGCGUAGAGAUCGGAAAGAACGUCGAUGGCGAAGGCAGCCACCUGGCAUAAUACUGACGCUGAGGCGCGAAAGCGUGGGGAUCAAACAGGAUUAGAUACCCUUGUAGU